CCUACGGGAGGCAGCAGUAGGGAAUAUUGCUCAAUGGGGGAAACCCUGAAGCAGCAACGCCGCGUGGAGGAUGAAGGUUUUCGGAUUGUAAACUCCUUUUUUUAGAGAAUAUAAUGACGGUAUCUGACGAAUAAACACCGUCUAACUCCGUACCAGCAGCCGCGGUAUUCCGGAGGGUGCAAGCGUUAAUCGGAAUCAAUGGGCGUAAAGACCGCGUAGGCUGGAUAGCAAGUAAGAUGUGAACUCCUAUGGCUUAACCAUAGAACUGCAUUUGAAACUGUUAUCUUAGAGUAUGGGAGGGGUAGGUUGAAUUCUUGGUGUAGGGGUAAAA
rnacentral:rRNA from 1 species